UUACCAUCUCAUCAAAGUGUCUUUAAACAGAGCUACUGCCACGCUGGCAGCCUCACCCCGAUUCCCCUGCCUACCACCUCCCCAAAGAAAUGGUAAAGCCUUUCCAAGGCUGGGGGCCGUUGGGAGCUUCUGGUCUGGAGCCCUCCCUUUUCACCCGUGCGAGCUGAUAACUGGAGAAGAUGGACUGUCCUGGGAUGCAGUUUAUGUGCUUCUUGGAGGACUGGCCCAUGGGAUCAAACAAUUGUACUUCGCAGCAGCCCGCUCAAAACUCCUUCUUGGGAUGCUGCCGCUCAGAAUCAGCUGCCGUGCUGCAAGAAGGCCAAGCCACAGGGAGAGUUCAGAGGCCAUGUGUAGAUGUGCCAGCGGAGCCCAGCCUUUGGUUUAUCCCAGCCCAGGUACUAAACAUGUAAGUGAAGAAGCCUCCAGAUCCAUGCUGUCCAAUUCAUGAGCCUCUGGCCAC